rnacentral:rRNA from 1 species
CCUACGGGUGGCAGCAGUGAGGAAUAUUGGUCAAUGGACGAAAGCCUGAAGCAGCCACGCCGCGUGCAGGAAGACGGCUCUAUGAGCUGUAAACUGCUUCUGCACGAAGGUAAACGCACAUACGCGAAUCUGACUGAAAGUAUCGUACGAAUAAGGAUCGGACAACUCCGUGCCAGCAGCCGCGGUAAUACGGAGUAUUCAAGCGUUAUCCGGAUUUAUUGGGUGUAAAGGGUGCGUAGGCGGUCGGGUAAGUUAGGGGUGAAAUCCCGAGGCUCAACUUCGGGAUUGCCUCUGAUACUGUUCGGCUAGAGUGUAGUUGCGGAUGGCGGAAUUUAUGGUGUAGCGGUGAAAUGCUUAGAGAUC